rnacentral:rRNA from 1 species
GAGUUUGAUCAUGGCUCAGAUUGAACGCUGGCGGCAGGCCUAACACAUGCAAGUCGAACGGUAACAGGAAGAAGCUUGCUUCUUUGCUGACGAGUGGCGGACGGGUGAGUAAUGUCUGGGAAGCUGCCUGAUGGAGGGGGAUAACUACUGGAAACGGUAGCUAAUACCGCAUAACGUCGCAAGACCAAAGAGGGGGACCUUCGGGCCUCUUGCCAUCGGAUGUGCCCAGAUGGGAUUAGCUAGUAGGUGGGGUAACGGCUCACCUAGGCGACGAUCCCUAGCUGGUCUGAGAGGAUGACCAGCCACACUGGAACUGAGACACGGUCCAGACUCCUACGGGAGGCAGCAGUGGGGAAUAUUGCACAAUGGGCGCAAGCCUGAUGCAGCCAUGCCGCGUGUAUGAAGAAGGCCUUCGGGUUGUAAAGUACUUUCAGCGGGGAGGAAGGGAGUAAAGUUAAUACCUUUGCUCAUUGACGUUACCCGCAGAAGAAGCACCGGCUAACUCCGUGCCAGCAGCCGCGGUAAUACGGAGGGUGCAAGCGUUAAUCGGAAUUACUGGGCGUAAAGCGCACGCAGGCGGUUUGUUAAGUCAGAUGUGAAAUCCCCGGGCUCAACCUGGGAACUGCAUCUGAUACUGGCAAGCUUGAGUCUCGUAGAGGGGGGUAGAAUUCCAGGUGUAGCGGUGAAAUGCGUAGAGAUCUGGAGGAAUACCGGUGGCGAAGGCGGCCCCCUGGACGAAGACUGACGCUCAGGUGCGAAAGCGUGGGUAGCAAACAGGAUUAGAUACCCUGGUAGUCCACGCCGUAAACGAUGUCGACUUGGAGGUUGUGCCCUUGAGGCGUGGCUUCCGGAGCUAACGCGUUAAGUCGACCGCCUGGGGAGUACGGCCGCAAGGUUAAAACUCAAAUGAAUUGACGGGGGCCCGCACAAGCGGUGGAGCAUGUGGUUUAAUUCGAUGCAACGCGAAGAACCUUACCUGGUCUUGACAUCCACGGAAGUUUUCAGAGAUGAGAAUGUGCCUUCGGGAACCGUGAGACAGGUGCUGCAUGGCUGUCGUCAGCUCGUGUUGUGAAAUGUUGGGUUAAGUCCCGCAACGAGCGCAACCCUUAUCCUUUGUUGCCAGCGGUCCGGCCGGGAACUCAAAGGAGACUGCCAGUGAUAAACUGGAGGAAGGUGGGGAUGACGUCAAGUCAUCAUGGCCCUUACGACCAGGGCUACACAAGUGCUACAAUGGCGCAUACAAAGAGAAGCGACCUCGCGAGAGCAAGCGGACCUCAUAAAGUGCGUCGUAGUCCGGAUUGGAGUCUGCAACUCGACUCCAUGAAGUCGGAAUCGCUAGUAAUCGUGGAUCAGAAUGCCACGGUGAAUACGUUCCCGGGCCUUGUACACACCGCCCGUCACACCAUGGGAGUGGGUUGCAAAAGAAGUAGGUAGCUUAACCUUCGGGAGGGCGCUUACCACUUUGUGAUUCAUGACUGGGGUGAAGUCGAAACAAGGUA